rnacentral:sRNA from 1 species
CCAAGCCAAACGCCGUGGCUUCUGUCCUGGAUGCCCAGUGUUUUGCGGCUUACGAUGCGCAUCGUUUUCCCGGCUCUGGCACCAGAUCCAUACUAUUCUGUAAACUGAGGCGGCGAUGCCCAAAAAUUAGAAGCAAUUGCUCUAAGAUAGCAAAAGAUUGAAGCAAGCCAUGAAACCCCUGCGCGGAGAGAGCCGAGCCCAAGGCCGCGGGGAGCCAGCACUUGUGCGCAGCUCCGCCCUCUUUUGGCGAAGCACCUAGGCCUGGCCCCUCCCGCGACCUGUAGCGCGGCGGAGCAAGCGCAGGAGGCUGGGAGGGCUGCGCGGGCUGCGCGUCGCCAUGGAGCCCGACGGGACCUACGAGCCGGGCUUCGUGGGUAUUCGCUUCUGCCAAGAAUGUAACAACAUGCUGUACCCCAAAGAAGACAAGGAGAACCGCAUUCUGCUCUACGCGGUGAGCGCCGGGGUCUUCCCCGGCAGGUCUACCUGUUCCCGGCGUGGCCCCGCCCUGCCCCCUGCCUCUGUGACUGGACUCCCUGUUCGCCCCCCGCUGCACCUCAAGUGAUCCUGACUCUCAUGUCCUGCCCAUCCCCAAAGACAGUCCUGUCGUCAUAUCCUCCGGGAUCACCCUGCCCUCUCCUCCCAGUCUUAUCUGGAAUCCUUCCGUGACCCGCUUUCCCCCACACUCGCCUUCUCGCAGUGCCGGAACUGUGAUUACCAGCAGGAGGCCGACAACAGCUGCAUCUAUGUCAACAAGAUCACUCACGAAGUGGACGAACUGACCCAGAUUAUCGCCGACGUGUCCCAGGACCCCACGUUGCCGCGGACCGAGGACCACCCGUGCCAAAAGUGCGGCCACAAGGAGGCUGUGUUCUUCCAGUCACACAGUGCGCGGGCCGAGGACGCCAUGCGCCUGUACUACGUGUGCACGGCCCCACACUGCGGCCACCGCUGGACCGAGUGACCUCCCCUCUCCCCCGAGUGUAAUAAACACCA